AGCAGCCGCGGUAAUUCCAGCUCCAAUAGCGUAUAUUAAAGUUGUUGCAGUUAAAAAGCUCGUAGUUGAAUUUCGGGACUAAUAUGUCGGUCGUGCCUCGGUACGCACUGGCUUAUUGGUUUCUCCUUUCUGAAGAACCAUGAUGUCAUUUAUUUGGUGUCGUGGGGAAUCAGGACUGUUACUUUGAAAAAAUUAGAGUGUUUAAAGCAGGCUCACGCUUGAAUACAUUAGCAUGGAAUAAUGAAAUAGGACGUUUGAUUCUAUUUUGUUGGUUUCUAGGAUCGACGUAAUGAUUAAUAGGGAUAGUUGGGGGCAUUAGUAUUCAAUUGUCAGAGGUGAAAUUCUUGGAUUUAUUGAAGACUAACUACUGCGAAAGCAUUUGCCAAGGAUGUUUUCAUUAAUCAAGAACGAAAGUUAGGGGAUCGAAGACGAUCAGAUACCGUCGUAGUCUUAACCAUAAACUAUGCCAACUAGGGAUCGGAUGAUGUUAAUUUU
rnacentral:rRNA from 1 species